CCCUCUCCGCCGCGCCGUGAGGGACCUCCGCUUCCAUCGUCGACCCCUCCACUCCAUAGACGGCAUCGCCCUUCAGAACCCCCCUCCCAUUCCUGCCACGAGCCCCAACCAGAAGCGAGACGGCAGAUUGGGGUGAACACCGAUGGCCGCGAGCUUGCCACGGAGAAUUGGUACUGACCUCCCAACCUCAUCUCCGGCCACCGACGCCCGGCGGGAUGUUGGCCGACCAGCCGCCAAAGAAGAGCCUCACGAGCUCAUCCCUGCCGCCGCCGGACCAGCACAGGGCGUCAAGGCCUCCAGGCGGCUCUUCCCUAACGAGCUAGGCGCAGAUCAGGAUCCCAUGGUCCCACGUGCCCGGCCUCCAUACCGCCGGGGAACUCAUCUGCUGCCUCCUCAUCUCUGCUGCAAGAGCAUAGCUCCCGCUGUCCUCUGAAGUUAACGCCGCCUACAUGGAGGAGCAGCACCGUUCAAUGGCUCAUCCCGGCACCACGGUUGUCCGCGCGCGGAGGUGGCGGUUGGCGAGUUGCAAGGAUGCACAGUGGCUGGUUCUGGACCGACGCUUAGAUGAUGUCGGGAUAUGAACUGCUAUGGCUAACUUCUAGGUGCAUCUCGCCGCCUUAUCUUAUGUUAAAUCGCUUCGACUCUCUUUAAAGAGUUUCUAGUCACUUCAGUUAAGUUGUUUAUCCCUGGUAACUAAAUUGUUUAUAUUCUUAAGUAAGUUGUUUACUACUAAUUUUUAUCAAGUUUUAUUUUGCUGCAAUAUCUAUGCUAUGUUUCACUUUAAUAGAGUUUCUAGUCGCUUUAGUUAAGUUGAUUAUCCAUGGUAGUUAAGUUGCUCAUACCCUUAAGUAAGUUAUUUACUCCUUAUUUUUAUGAAGCGUCAAGCUUCCGGAAUUCCUCGCCAAGCUGCCCACUUCAUAUGUGUCAAGCUUCCCGAAUCCCACGCUGAUUUGCCAACUUCAUGAUAAGGGUUCAGCAUGCAUGUUCAUUUCUGAUAUUUCUAUGUUUUACUUUCAUGGCUUUCUGAAGGUUAUGUUGGGAUCACGGCUACGUUGUUGAUUACUUCUUUGCAAGUUUCUUAUUUUGCUUCUUCCUUCCCUUUAACUAAGUUGAUUUUAUCAAUAUGAUUAAGUUGGUUGCAUCAUCUAACUAAGUUGCUUUUUGUCAACAUUCUUAAAGUUUUUGAGUUACACCAAAAUGCUCCUCAAUAGUAUAGUGAUUUAAUUAAGUUGCUUCUUUUCAUCUGGCUAAGUUGCUUGGUCGGACUGACUAAGUUGUUUUAUAUGAUAAUAUCACAUAACUAAGUUGCGUUCCCCCAUGCAUUUAUUUCUUGGUUAAACAACUAAUGGAAAUCCUGAGCUUACUAAUGACUUUUAAUUAGAAACUUGCUUUUCUAGCAGGAAAACUUGAAUCUGGAAACAAAAAAAUGACAGAAGAGACAAACAUGUUAUUCCCAUGAAUCUAAGUAAGCAUGCUUCUCAAUUUUUGGUUAGUUGUUUUUGUGAAUCUAGGUAAGUUGGCUUUCCAACAUUGGUUAAGUUAUUGUCUGAACCUAGGAAAGUUGGCUCCUCAAUGUUUGUUUAGGGUAGUACAUGUUUGUUAGUUGUUUCAUGCAUGGAUGCUAAAGGCAAUGGGUUGUUUAGCAGGUUGGUAGUAAAUAUGCCAUCUUAUGUUUAUCCCAUUUUUAUUCAAAUUUUGUUCUGCCUGUUGCCACAUAUUUUUGUCUAACAUGAUUUUUCAUUUUUUUUGCUGAUUUGGCAAAAAAGUAGUUGAAAGAAGGUGUUGGCGCCAUCAUAAGAGGUGGUCUUUUUGUUGGGAUGACAAGGACCGAAGAAUUUGAAUUUUCGAAGUUGCAACAGGGUUUUUUCCUAUGAGAGUAAUGCGACAAGAACAAGUGUGUGGGGGCGUCAGCAUAGUCAACGGAGAAAAUUCUAUAGCUGGUCUAUUGAUGCUACCGAAACUGUUUAGUAGACAACUAUGUACAUAUGCAGAUAAAUAGUGAUGUUUUUCGAGUUACAUAACUAUUAGUACUAGUGCACCUACAUAUUCAGUACCAUGGAAACAUUUUGUAGCACAAACCAUAUGAGUUUGUAUUAAAAAAAAACCUAGUAUCUUGUUCAUAUGCAA